UCCUCUCCAUGGCAGAUACAGCCCAUGCCAUCCACAAAUCUACCUGGACAUGACUGUAUCUCCAGCUUUGAAUUCCUAUCCAGAUCCUCUAAAGAAAUUGUUGCAUUACUGACAGCUGAUGCAUGA
rnacentral:lncRNA from 1 species